UGGUGGACUAAGUCUAAGACUAGGGG
rnacentral:piRNA from 1 species